AGGCCUUGAAUCGAGCAAACCAGCUGCUGCAUCUUCAAAGAGGUAAGAAAUCCAUCGAGCUAAUUCUUGAAAUCUUCAUGUGGUUCUUAUAGAUCUUGGAACGUAGAGCAUUAUGCAACUUAGAUCUCUUAAAACCAUGCGGUAUUGAUGAAGUUAUGUGGAUUUGAAAAGUUGAUUGCUAAAACUUGUUUUGAUCGAUCCUUUUGCCAUGGUUAGAAUUAGGACAAAUCAAUGUUAGAUUAGUGAUCUAGGAUGAAUGCUGGUUCGAUU
rnacentral:lncRNA from 1 species